rnacentral:ncRNA from 1 species
UCAAGCAGAAGAGGAGCACUGCCCAGGCAGGUAAUAUGUGGAGCCACAACUCCAAUACCUAUUAUCUAUGGGGAGCAGUGCCGAGAUGGACUAGAAUUGUCGGUUUUAGUUUGUCGGUUAAACGGGCUGAAUCCCUUUAACUGUCACCAACCUAUUGGUGAGGAGCUUCUGAGGUC